GGCAACUUCGCGCGCGUUCGGAAAAAACGAGCAUCGACUCCCUCUAUCACACGUGUGUGUGUACACACGUUCAUAUCAGUUUCGUCGCGUCGUUCUCCGGAUCCAAAUUCGAUUCUGCUGAACUGUUCAUUAGCAAAAUUCCGUUUUACGUAUGAAGAAUUUGAAAAUUCAAAAAAUUCCCGUGUAUCGACUAGCCCUUUGUUCACUCUUUGAGGAAAAAAAAAGCGCUGAACAUCCGAAACGGCUCCGGCGAAGCUCGACGCUUUGAAAAAUGCAACCGAUCGGCUGUACCAAGGAGGACAACUGCAAGCGCGACGCCUUCCUUCGAGCGCAAGCACGAGCUGCGGCGGCCAAAGGCCAGAAAAACGUCGAACUACUCCAAGAAGCCGGUGGCGGUUGCUGUUGUCUAGCCGCGUGUGCCAAAGUCACCGUCGCCAAUCAACAGCAGUCGCCGGAACCGACGGAACAAUUAGUCGUCGAAACUCCGCGGGAGGAAGCAGUGCCGACGGCCACAUCGACAGUGGAAACGGUCGACGGAAACAGCGCACCAGAAGAGACCGCGGAGUCACCGUAGAUUUUUCGUUCUCCUCCGUAUAUACCACUUGCGGCGAGUCAUGGGUGACGAAUUAGCCCCUGGGAGCGAAUCAACCGGGGAUUAACUGUACGGAGAAGUUCGACGCGAAGAGAGAGAGAGAGAGAGAUAGAAACACGGAGAGCCAUGUCGAGAGAACAAUGCAAGGGACAAUACUGCAGCCAGGACUCGGAGUGCGACGACGAGGAGAUUUCGAACAGACGGCCAGCAGCGAGACGGGAGAGCAACGACGACGAGGACGACGCUGCCGCGAGGAAAGAAAGAUUCGACGAGGCGGUGUUUACACUCGCUACUAUCGUCGCCGUCCUGGGGAUCUACGGCUGUCUCGUCUACGCCCUCAGUAGUCCGCCGGCUGCGAAUGCUUCCGAUUACGCUCAGGUCUGACGAAGAAGCUCGCGCGAGAGUCUCUUCGGUGUUUCCGCCGCGCGCUGAAAAAGCUCGAAGUGCCAGCGGAAUCCUGUUGCGCCCAGCGACGAAGCUCUCACGCGUAUACACGUAGACAGGAACCAUAAACCUUCAGCCGGACGGAGAGCGGAAAAAAUAAAGGAGAAACGCCUGGAGCGAGUCGAAAUCACGUUACAUUACCGUUGCUCCGUCUCAGACCGGCAUCCUUUGGAGAAAAACGCUCGCCCGUAGGUACAGUCGGCCCCUUCAAAGGGAAAACGAUUCGGAUCAACUCGAGAAAAUGGCCCAAUCACGGCGGAUUCAGGCGUUUUCGUUCGUCCGUCUCUCUAUCCGCAGGUCGCUUCAGUUGACGUGUAUGUGAGCGAAGCAGGAGACGUAGUGGUAGGUACCGAUGCGACUUUGCGGGGGAGAGACACUCUAGAGGGUUGAAAGGCCAGGAAUGCGGAAGACGAGAAGAAGAGAGACGUGGCGAUGAAAGGCAUCAGGAUGAACUAAACUACACGCGGCAUUGAAUGAUGGUGCUUCCACCGAGCGAGUCGGCUUGUAUUCUUGUUCGCCGCUGUCGCGCACCUUAUUCGAGUAAAUCAGCCAUGUGAGCUUUUUUAUACGGAAGCGGAUGCAUCAAGUUUGCGUAAUUAAAUACUGCGUAAAAGAA